rnacentral:rRNA from 1 species
UACGUAGGGUCCAAGCGUUGUCCGGAAUUAUUGGGCGUAAAGAGCUCGUAGGCGGUCCGUUAAGUCGGAAGUGAAAUCUCAAGGCUCAACCUUGAAAUCGCUCUCGAUACUGGCGGACUUGAGGCAGGUAGGGGAAGGUGGAAUUCCUGGUGUAGCGGUGAAAUGCGCAGAUAUCAGGAAGAACACCAACGGCGAAGGCAGCUCGCUAGGACGGUACUGACGCUGAGACGCGAAAGCGUGGGGAGCGAACAGG